ensembl:rRNA 5S_rRNA 5S ribosomal RNA
GUCUGUGACCAUGCCACCCUGAAUGCACCCGAUCUCAUCUGAUCUUGGAGGCUAAUCAGGGUCGGGCCUGGUACUUGGUAGGGAGACAUGAGAUUUGGACCCAGAUC